rnacentral:tRNA from 1 species
GCCCAUGUAGCUCAGUGGUAGAGCACUCCCUUGGUAAGGGAGAGGUCGGCAGUUCGAUUCUACUCAUGGGCACCA